rnacentral:rRNA from 1 species
GACGAACGCUGGCGGCGUGCUUAACACAUGCCAGUCGAACGGAAAGGCCCUGCUUUUGUGGGUUGCUCGAGUGGCGAACGGGUGAGUAACACGUGAGUAACCUGCCCUUGACUUUGGGAUAACUUCAGGAAACUGGGGCUAAUACCGGAUAGGAGCUCCUGCUGCAUGGUGGGGGUUGGAAAGUUUCGGCGGUUGGGGAUGGACUCGCGGCUUAUCAGCUUGUUGGUGGGGUAGUGGCUUACCAAGGCUUUGACGGGUAGCCGGCCUGAGAGGGUGACCGGGCACAAGGGGACUGAGAUACGGCGCAGACUCCUACGGGAGGCAGCAGGGGGGAAUAUUGCAGAAUGGGGGGAAGCCUGAUGCAGCAACGCCGCGUGCGGGAUGACGGCCUUCGGGUUGUAAACCGCUUUCGCCUGUGACGAAGCGUGAGUGACGGUAAUGGGUAAAGAAGCACCGGCUAACUACGUG